UACGUAGGGUGCAAGCGUUGUCCGGAAUUAUUGGGCGUAAAGAGCGCGCAGGCGGUCGUUCAAGUCGCGUGUGAAAGCCCCCGGCUCAACUGGGGAGGGUCACGCGAUACUGAUCGACUGGAAGGCAGGAGAGGGUAGUGGAAUUCCCGGUGUAGUGGUGAAAUGCGUAGAUAUCUGGAGGAACACCGGUGGCGAAGGCGGCAUCCUGGACCAACACUGACGCUGAGGAGCGAAAGCCAGGGGAGCAAACGGG
rnacentral:rRNA from 1 species